rnacentral:rRNA from 1 species
AUUGAACGCUGGCGGCAUGCUUUACACAUGCAAGUCGAACGGUAACAGGGUGCUUGCACCGCUGACGAGUGGCGAACGGGUGAGUAAUGCGUCGGAACGUGCCGAGUAGUGGGGGAUAACGCAGCGAAAGUUGUGCUAAUACCGCAUACGUACUAAGGUAGAAAGUGGGGGACCUUCGGGCCUCACGCUAUUCGAGCGGCCGACGUCUGAUUAGCUAGUAGGUGAGGUAAGAGCUCACCUAGGCGGCGAUCAGUAGCGGGUCUGAGAGGAUGAUCAGCCACACUGGGACUGGGAGACGGCCCAGGCUCCUACGGGGGGCGGCAGUGGGGAAUUUUGGACAAUGGGCGCAAGCCUGAUCCAGCCAUGCCGCGUGUCUGAAGAAGGCCUUCGGGUUGUAAAGGACUUUUGUCAGGGAGGAAAUCCUAGUGGCUAAUAACUGCUAGGGAUGACAGUACCUGAAGAAUAAGCACCGGCUAACUACGUGCCAGCCGCCGCGGUAAGAC